GCUGUCGAAGCCCCGGAAUAGCCCAAGCAUUCAUGACGCGACGCGAGAGAGUGGACACGAGACGAUGCAACGCAGUGGAACAACACAGGGCGGCAACACUAUGGCGGAGCAGGAGGAGCAGCAGGACGGAGAGAGGAGUGGAAGAAGACGGAGGAGGAGGGGGCAGGCACGACGACGACGACGAUGGAGGAUGGAGGGAGAGGGAUAGGCACCGCACUUCCAGGAGUGAACUCCGCGCUUCUUGAGCCCAGAUGCUUCGUCGCACGGUGAAGAGUCGCAGGACAUCCCCGAACCAUACCUGUCUGGGAAAUCGGAACGCUGGCCCCCGCAUAUUCAUGAACUGGCCCCCUUUGGCCUUCGACUUUUUUGUCUGCCGUGGCAAUUGGGGCUGCGUCGUCGCCUUGUUGGAAGCACAACGAGCGGGGCCGGAGGAGGCUCACCAUCGCCAUGGCUUCAACUUCCCCCCUCUGCGUCGUUGUCUCCUUUGCCUUUCUGACAGGGAAUAAAAUGAAAAGAAAAGAGAAAGAAAAACAAAGCAACAAUGCAGAACAUAGCCAAGCCAAGCCACACCAGCAAGGCACGGCACGGCACGGCAAGGCAUCGGAGCUUCCUCACCAUUCCACUCUGUUUCCCAUUGGUGGCAGGUCACUCUCACUCCCCGCCCCCACCAUUUCCCCGUCUCGAGCGCCUUUCCUUCCACAUUCCACGCUGCUCGAGGCGGGUGUGCCUCUCCGCCACACUGAGGCACAGUUGUGGUACAUUUUGUGACCGCGGGGAGGAUUGCGCGGCGGUGGUGGAGUCAUGUAGUUUGAAGUUCUUGCACUGCAUUGGAAGUUUAGUAAGUGGUGAAAGGUUUUCAAGCCUUUGGUGAGACCUUGGUGGUGCAAUCCGAAGGGGCUGGUGUGGGUGAGGUGUAGUGAGCCGUGGAGGAGGUUGCUAUUCAGCUCGCAGGGGUGCAGGAGCUGGAGGGUGGGAGCUGAAAUCUUGGGCGUGUUGCUGAUGCUGGUGGGUGAUGGCAUUUUGGGGGUUGGAAGGAAUAAAGAUGUGCAUGGUUUCGAGGUCUCGAGUGGCACGAGAGCAUUGAUAGGGCUGAAUCCGCCGAAUGUAUUUUAGGAAUGGAAAUGACAGGUGCAGGACGAGGGUAGUAAGGCGCUCCACUCUGUGUGGAUGAAACCAUGGGAUGUGUUAACUGCAAGAGUUCGAGGGCACAGCGGCGAGGGGCCAAGCAGCAGCAUCACGAGCAGCAGCAUCAGCAGCAGGCGGUCUUGCCCGCUGUGAACGACACCGAGGAUGUUUUCACCUCUGAAAGUGACGAAGAUGUCUUUGGAGAUGGCUUGGGAAUGAAAAUGUGCUUGCCUGGGCGUGACAGUAAGUCGAACUCUCGUUCAGGAACUCCCAAGCUUCGGUCGGAGGCGAACACUCCACAUCUGAAGUCUGAAGCUGGCACUCCAAAGUGGGGCAGCAAAUACAUUCCUGGGCUGCCAAAGCCGUCGUCAAAGUCAGGGACGCCCAGGACUAGGUCAGACAUUGGAACUCCAAAGCUGAAAACGGAUGCCUACUCCUCACCCAGUGUGAAACCUGAAGGUGAGGGAUCAAAGGUUGGUUCCCCUUACGAGCUUGGCUCCAGCCGAAGAAACACCCACAGUUCACCCCAUUUCUUGGAGUCUCUCGAUCUUGACCUUGGAAUUUCUCGUCUCUCUCGAAUAGCCGACCAGUAUCUUCCUGCCAGUGGUUCUCGGGUUGUAAGAGUUCCAGAUGGCGACUAUGAGCUGCGAUUCUCAUACUUGACGCAACGGGGCUACUAUCCAGAAGCGCUUGACAAGGCGAAUCAGGACAGUUUCUGCGCCCACACAGUAUUUGGUGAGAACCCGGACGACCAUUUCUUUGGAGUGUUUGAUGGCCAUGGUGAGUUUGGGACACAGUGCUCCCAGUUUGUGAAAAGAAACUUGUGUGAAAAUUUGUUACACAACCGACACUACCUCACUGACCCUGUACAAGCAUAUCACGAGGCAUUUUUAACCACCAACAUACAACUGCAUCGCGACAGUGUGGAUGACGCUAUGAGUGGCACGACGGCUGUAACAGUGCUAGUGAGAGGUCGGACGAUGUAUGUGGCCAAUGUGGGCGAUUCACGAGCUGUAAUUGCAGAGAGAAGAGGCAAGAAUCUCGUGGCCGUCGAUCUUUCCACUGACCAGACUCCCUUUCGGGAUGAUGAAUGCGCGCGGGUCAAGGCUUGUGGUGCUCGGAUUAUGACCCUCGACCAGUUGGAAGGGUUAAAGAAUCCUGAUGUUAGGUGUUGGGGUGGGGAGGAUGACGACGACGGUGAUCCUCCACGGUUGUGGGUGCAAAAUGGCAUGUAUCCAGGAACAGCUUUCACACGAAGUUUAGGCGACUCUGCUGCGGAGGAAAUUGGCGUUAUUGCAGUGCCGGAGGUCCUCGUCGUCGACCUCACGCCGCAGCACCCAUUCUUUGUCGUAGCCAGUGAUGGUGUAUUCGAGUUUAUAAACAGCCAAACUGUUGUUGACAUGGUUGCCAAGUGCAGCGAUCCAAAGGAAGCUUGUGCAGCAAUCGUGGCAGAAUCAUAUCGGCUGUGGCUCCAAUACGAAACUCGCACUGACGAUAUCACAAUCAUUGUUGUACACAUUCAAAACCUCGAUGACGAUCACAUUGCAAUGGAGUCAUAUUACAGAGAUUCACCCGUACGGCCACUUAAGUCACCUGGAGUCAAGUCUCCUGGCCGAGUUUCUAGAGAUGCAUUCAAGGGCAAUCGGCCCGUUCGCAGUGAUUUUUCAAGGGCACGAGCUCGUGCUAUUGAAGCUUCUUUGGAUCUAGGCGAACCGUGGUUGCCCUCGACCAAUCCUCGUGUAAAAACUCCAGAAGAAGAGGCACAAAUUAAGCAGGCACUUCAGGGAAACUUCUUAUUUGAAGGAUUGACAGAGAAGCAACGGCAGACGCUCAUUAGUUGCAUGGAUUCGGUGGAAGUUAAUGCCGGCGAUAUUAUAAUACGGCAGGGUUUUGAGAGCGACCUAUUCUACAUUGUAGAAUCUGGUGAAUUUGAAGCUUCAUUUUCUCAGACUGGAACUGGUUCUGCUCAAGACCCGGGGAAGGUUGUUCAUCUGUAUACUGCGGACUCAAAUCCCUGCUUUGGAGAGCUUGCACUUCUGUAUAAUAAACCAGGUCAGGCAACGGUGCGGGCAGCAACAAACGGUAGUCUGUGGGUUCUGGAGCGUGAAGCCUUUCGAGGAGCCCUCUUGAUGCAAUACAUGCAACGACCGCUGCUGAUGAUCUUACGAUCCUUGGAGAUCUUUUCUAAGUUGUCUUUGUCACAUCUGCAGAGUUUGUCUGAAGCCUUGACUGAAGUCACGUUUCAGGCAGGUCAAGUCAUCGUGGAGAAGGAUCAGAAGAUUGAUGCACUCUAUAUUACCAACCGAGGCGAUGUGGAUAUAAUCUACCAUGAUGGUGAGAAUAAUGAUGCUGCGGAGUUUCAGUUGCCCAGGGCAAGCUUAGAGUGGACUGGAGAAAGAUGUGCUUUUAUUGACCGCGGUGAUAACGAUCCGCAAGAUCCACCCCGAGUGAAGUUUUUCGGUGAUUGGGUGCUUACAAAUAUGCCCGCAAAACCCAUCACUGUAGUAGCUACCACUGAUGUGGAAUGUUGGUGUAUUACUCAGCAAGCGUUUGAAAAUGCCGUUGGUCCUCUAAGUUUAAUCCUCAAGGAAGAUGAAAGGUAUAUGGAGAAAAUGUCCCAGGUCCGUAGACUCCAACUUGCGGAGGUGGAUGCAUAUGCUUUUAAGAGGAUUACGCUGAAGGAUCUGGACUGGCAGGAAACUGUAUAUUCAACCGAUUGUUGCGAAGUUGGAGUGGUUUUUUGCAGAAAAUCAGAUGACAUCGUAAGCAUGAAGAGGUACCAAAGACGGAAGGUUCAGAGACUUGGUCGGGAAGGCCAAGUCCUACUGGAGAGAUCUCUUUUUAAGCAGCUUAGGCCAUCUCCAUUUGUGCCGCAUCUCUUGGCCACUCCCAUCGACAGCGAUAGUGUGGCGCUUGUUUUGAAUUGUGUGUUAGCUGGACCUCUAGAUCUUCUUCUGCGUUCACCUCUGGACGAGAACUCAGCUCGCUAUCUAGUGGCUAAUGUGGUAUUGGCCAUCGAGCUUCUGCAUAAGGAUGGUGUCGUUUACCGUGGCAUAUCACCUGAUGUUCUUGUGAUUGACCGGAAAGGCCGUCUUCAGCUGAUUGAUUUUCGAUUCUCAAAGAAAAUGUCCGAUGAGCGCACUUUCACUGUUUGCGGCAUGGCUGAUUUCUUAGCACCUGAGGUUAUUCAAGGACUAGGCCAUGGCUUGGCUUCUGACUGGUGGGCUGUGGGUGUGCUGAUGUACUUCAUGUUACAAACGGAGCUUCCAUUUGGGUCAUGGCGAGACAAUGAGCUGGACGUUUUCGGAAGGAUAGCUCAUCGACAGCUUACGUUUCCUUCAAGUUUUAGCGCCGAAGCGACUGACCUUAUUGACAAGCUGCUUGUAGUGGAUCCAACCAAAAGGUUGGGCUGUGACAGUCACGGAGCGCUUGCUAUAAAGGGGCAUCCCUGGUUCCGGGGAGUCAACUGGGAUAAGCUCCUUGACUGCAGUGUUGAGGUCCCUUCAGAGAUCAUGACCCGCCUUCAGCUGGCCAUCGACUUCCUUCCCGUGGACGAUAGCUACCAAGUAUUUGAUCUUCAACCAGAUGAAGAUGAUCCACCUUGGCUUGAUGGCUGGUGAUGGCUUCGUAGCUCGCAGAGCCGUGUUCAAGCUUCGAUGUCACAGAAAGUGCAUUGAUACAACAGAAAGUGUACUUCGAAGUGUUCCAUGAACGGAUACCGUAGCGCUUGGGAUCUUUCGGUCCUUACAAAUCAUGACUCUAUGUGAGGUUCGAAAGUUGUGGCAUUCAAAGUUGCUGGUACAGAACUCCAAGCAGAAUAUAAAAGCCAGCUGUGUAGGUGAGAUGUUACCUUGGUUCGAGCUCACACUCGUGUUGUUUAGCGCGAGUGGCUAAUGAAUGUACGAAACCACGAUGUUCUCUGCAAGUCUCAAAAAGUAACCAAUUUCUAGUUCAGAAAUAUCAAUGACUUGAAAGUCAUUCUGGCUCAUCGACACACAAGUGUUGUGUGUGUGUGUAUGUGGUCUUGUAGACGGAAGUGCUCAACUUAUGCGUGUAUGAUUUUCUACAUGUGCAGGCAAAAUGAUGCCUAGUAGAUCCACGAUGUUUUUAGAAACCUUUUACAACACUACGAGAGUUGAGCAGCCGCACUCGUGGACCAUAAACGUGUCCCACCAUCAUGGAACUGUCGAGGGGUUUAUGAAUUCUUUUACCAGUUGUUUUUCUAAAUAUGACAGGACUUCAGCAUUCUCGUCCCUCUCACGUCUUUUUGGGCUCAGGACUCUCCGAUUCUCCGCCGUCUUGCCUUAAAUCUUGCUGUUCAUUUAGCUGCCUCUGUUGCAUGAGGUGCAAUAGAAGCUUGGUUGGUGACUUCAAAUGAAUCUCUGGUUCUAAUCUCAGUUGUGCGUUAUCUGGUGACAAUUCCAUCA